CCCUCAGAGAUCCAUACUCCAAGAAAGGCUCCGAACACUUUUAUGAUGCUGCAAGUGACACAGGAUACAUUGCCUGGCGUAAUAAAACAGUCCACAGCAAUAUGGAGCGAUGCCACCAGACAGCCCUCUUCCUCAACAGUCUACAGCCAGGAAAUGGCAUCCCUUCUUUUAAUCCCUUCCACCACUUCCAGGAGGACUGAAGUCUCCAAAAAUUGCAUGCGAUGCAGCUGAAAGCCAUGUAAUCUAUCAUAAGUUUGGAGAAGCACCUCAGCAACAACCAUCCGUUCCUCCUUGCUGUUGGACGUCAGAAAAGCAACAGCUUCUACAUCGCCUUGGAUAAGCAUCUCCUCCCAUGCCAGGCAAACUGCUUCCUUGGAGCAUUUGAUGAACUUUUAAAUUUUGUGCACAUUUUUAGCACAUUUUGUGUUCAGUUUGCCAUAUGAUAGUGCACUUGUGAACUUUUACACAUUACUACACAUUUUUAUGAGCAUCUUCAUGCAUUCAGAG